CAUGCUGGAGGUAUCAGAAGUGCGAAUGCUGACAUAAGUAACGAUAAAGCGGGUGAAAAGCCCGCUCGCCGGAAGACCAAGGGUUCCUGUCCAACGUUAAUCGGGGCAGGGUGAGUCGACCCCUAAGGCGAGGCCGAAAGGCGUAGUCGAUGGGAAACGGGUUAAUAUUCCCGUACUUGGUGUUACUGCGAAGGGGGGACGGAGAAGGCUAUGUUGGCCGGGCGACGGUUGUCCCGGUUUAAGCGUGUAGGUGUGUGUUCCAGGUAAAUCCGGUUCACUUUAACACUGAGGCGUGACGACGAGGCACUACGGUGCUGAAGCAACAAAUGCCCUGCUUCCAGGAAAAGCCUCUAAGCAUCAGGUAACAUCAAAUCGUACCCCAAACCGACACAGGUGGUCAGGUAGAGAAUACCAAGGCGCUUGAGAGAACUCGGGUGAAGGAACUAGGCAAAAUGGUGCCGUAACUUCGGGAGAAGGCACGCUGACACGUAGGUGAAGUGAUUUACUCAUGGAGCUGAAGUCAGUCGAAGAUACCAGCUGGCUGCAACUGUUUAUUAAAAACACAGCACUGUGCAAACACGAAAGUGGACGUAUACGGUGUGACGCCUGCCCGGUGCCGGAAGGUUAAUUGAUGGGGUCAGCGCAAGCGAAGCUCCUGAUCGAAGCCCCGGUAAACGGCGGCCGUAACUAUAACGGUCCUAAGGUAGCGAAAUUCCUUGUCGGGUAAGUUCCGACCUGCACGAAUGGCGUAAUGAUGGCCAGGCUGUCUCCACCCGAGACUCAGUGAAAUUGAACUCGCUGUGAAGAUGCAGUGUACCCGCGGCAAGACGGAAAGACCCCGUGAACCUUUACUAUAGCUUGACACUGAACAUUGAGCCUUGAUGUGUAG
rnacentral:rRNA from 1 species